UGUUCAGGUUAUUAAGUAAACGGGUGUGGUCGUUAAUUUUAUCGAUUGCUCUUAUUUGUUUGUUUGUUUGUUUAUGUAUGUAUGUAUGUAUUUAUUUUUAUUUGCCAUUUCCAGAGUAAAGCAAUUUCAGUUUCUGUGUCCCCACAUACGUAGAUGGAAAGGGAGGCUCCACCUUUGGAGCGCAGUGAUUGGUUAUGUAAAUAAAGUAUUUUUUCUCCCCUAUCUUUAUGCAGUUAUCUACUGUAUGGAUAAUUAAAUCAUCAAUCAAGGGGCUUGGCUAUUUGAUGCCUUUGUUCAAAGCCAAUCGGGUUCCAGGGAACUGGCACUUCGCUAACUCAAUGGUGUGGGUGUGUUAUAUCUCGCAUCUCUAAUGCUUUGUGAACCAUACCCAGAAGGGAAGAACCAGAACACACAUUCAAUUAAUGUUUGACAUUGACAAAACUUUCUCUGACUGAAAAGGUAAGGUCUGGAAAACAGGAGCACUUUCACGUAAGAAAGACGCCUUAUAGCUCUACGGAAUUAAUAAUUGACGUUUGCUGUGAUUAAUUAUUAAUCAAACAUUUGAAUAAUUGUUGUUUCUCUAAUCUCUACAUACAUUUGCAUAUCUGCCUUUUUAAUUUCUGCUAUUAUAUGUGAAGCUACAUUCUCUCAGGACACGAAGAUGUAAUAAAUAAAACUUCACUCCUCAAAUGUCUACCUACUGUGUGCUCGUUGAAUGUGGCACAGACUAAAAACAGAUAAUAAACAGAAAAUCUCAAUUAACUUACCACUAUGAACCCGAACCAAUAACAUUGUGUAGGUGCAUUUGAUGCUGAUCUUAUCAUCUUGGUGUUGUUUUGCC